GCUUUUGUGGUCACUGAUGCCUUAUUCUGCUACUAACCCUAAAAAGCACUAAAUGCACCAAACAGAAUGUUAUAAAUAAUUGUUUCCAAACAGGUUUCCAUGACAGGAGACGGCGUUUAUGCAUCCAGAAAAGCCGCUCUUGAUCUGGGAUCAUCUAGAGACUGAUGGUGUCACUUCUUUUGACACCAGAAAUGGCGUCUGAAGCGCGCUAAGAAGUGCUUCUGGCUCUCAGCGCGGCCGCUCCGGAUCCAGGUGUGAACGCUGUCUCUGGUUUGGCAGAUUCCCCCUCAGUCGCCCUGUUUGGAUCAGAACUCAGAGAGGAAAGAUGCAUCAAACGCACCGUGAAAUCCACAGCUCACGAGACUUCAUGGAGAAAUGAGCAGUGAUCUCACAUUGCUAUCUAGGAAACAAAUUUAAGUGCACAUACAAAUAAAAAUACGUCAUGGUGUGAACGGUAAAACUGGACUCUGAGAUUCUGCUGUUUCCUUAAAGUAGGUCAUCUCUGUUUCACACACAGCAGACUGGUACAAAAAUAAUACUGUGCUGCUAGAACCAGAAACACACACACACACACUCACCUGAAAAAGAGAUUCUGAGGCAGCUGCUCACACACACCUGCCCAUCGUCAGCUGAUGGUCACUGUAUUAUAACUGUAGCUGGUCUGUAGCAGCUUUGCUUCCCAUCAAAUAUUUAACAAGUAGAUGUGGGUCGUUUCACUUCUGCUUUUCCUAACACAUGAAUCUGCGUGUGUUUUAGUUUAAGAUCAGACUCAAUGUUUACUGAGGGAUUGACAGGUUACAUAAGGACAUUGUUUGGAAAUGUUGAUAUUAUCAAUCUGGGGUGCG
ensembl:lncRNA